rnacentral:ncRNA from 1 species
GAUUUCUGCCUAGUGCUCUCAAUGUCAAAGUGAAGAAAUUAAUGAAGCGCGGGUAAACGGCAGGAGUAACUAUGACUCUCUUAAGGUAGCCAAAUGCCUCGUCAUCUAAUUAGUGUCUCGCAUGAAUGGGU